rnacentral:ncRNA from 1 species
AUGCAGAGGCGCGGGCACGAAGGAAGAUUGGCGGAGAUGAAAAAGCAUUGAUGAUUCCAAUUUGAGGGCGUUUUCGCCGAAGUCGCGAAGCACUUUUUUGUUAGCGGCUGGACCUGAACUCAAUAGGUUUAGAGCUGUCGACGGAGGAAUUC